rnacentral:misc_RNA from 1 species
AAGUCGUAACAAGGUUUCCGUAGGUGAACCUGCGGAAGGAUCAUUAACACUUUUUUUUUUCGUCUCUUCUUGCGAAGAAAGAAAAGAAAAAACUUAUCCACCCCUAUUUGAACGAACGAUGAUUUAUUAUCCAAUAUUUCAUUUAUUAUUUUUUCACCCCUUUUACUAUUUUACAAAAAUGCCUGAUAUCAAAAAAAAAGAGUUCAGAUUUCUGAACUCUUUUUGUUGAAAUAAGAAUAAUGUUGAAAAACAACUCUUAACAACGGAUAUCUUGGCUCUC